rnacentral:rRNA from 1 species
UACGAAGGGGGCGAGCGUUGUUCGGAUUUACUGGGCGUAAAGGGCGCGUAGGCGGCCCUCCUAGUCGCGUGUGAAAGCCCCGGGCUCAACCUGGGAAUGGCAAUGGAUACUGGCGAGCUAGAGUGUGUCAGAGGAUGGUGGAAUUCCCGGUGUAGCGGUGAAAUGCGUAGAGAUCGGGAGGAACAUCAGUGGCGAAGGCGGCCAUCUGGGACAACACUGACGCUGAGGCACGAAAGCGUGGGGAGCAAACAGG